rnacentral:rRNA from 1 species
AGAUCAAGCUAGAAAGAGCGCAUGGUGAAUGCCUUGGCACUAGGAGCCGACGAAGGACGUGAUAAGCUGCGAUAAGCUGUGGGUAGCCGCAAAUAGGCCGUGAUCCACAGAUUUCCGAAUGGGGCAACCC